CUGGGCUGCUGUCCAAGUCAGGUGGCUCACUGUCUCUGAGAAUAUUUCACUUUCUGGUAAAUGGGGCAGUUGGAGAUAGAAGGGUUGGGUGAAUGCCAAGAGUGAGCACAGCUGAGGUCAGUGCUGUGCCUGCAGUCCAGGCGGGAGUAGAAAUCCUGGGCCCAUCUUACCUCCGACCUCAUUUCCUCCUCUGUAAUAAUGUGGGGGUGGGGGAAAGUUCUGGUCAUCAGCCCUAGCAUUCCAUGGUUCAUUUCCUCAUCAGUGAUGGAAAAUCACCAAGCAAGAGAACAGGAUGGAGAAUAACCGGAUGGGUGCAAUCGGAGGUGCUAUUUCAGGAGCUGGCCAUUCUUCAAGUCAGAAGGCCUGAGAGAGGAGCUGCCCAGGUGGUCUUCAUGGGGCUGUGUGGCCAGUCAUCCCCAACAGGUUGACAAUCCUUGUGUA